rnacentral:tRNA from 1 species
GCCCAGAUGGUGGAAUUGGUAGACACAAGGGACUUAAAAUCCCUCAGCAUGUAUAUUGCUAUGCGGGUUCAACUCCCGCUCUGGGUA